rnacentral:rRNA from 1 species
CAGCAGCCGCGGUAAUACGUAGGGAGCAAACGUUGUCCGGAUUUAUUGGGCGUAAAGGGCUCGUAGGCGGUUCAACAAGUCGGUCGUGAAAGCCCGGGGCUCAACCCCGGGAUGCCGGUCGAAACUGUUGUGACUAGAGUUCGGUAGAGGUGAGUGGAAUUCUCGGUGUAGCGGUGGAAUGCUCAGAUAUCGAGAGGAACACCAUUAGCGAAGGCGGCUCACUGGGCCGAUACUGACGCUGAGGAGCGAAAGCGUGGGGAGCAAACAGGAUUAGAUACCCUGGUAGUCCACGCCGUAAACGAUGAACACUAGGUGUGGCGGACUGAUUCAUGUCUGCUGCGCCGUAGCUAACGCAUUAAGUGUUCCGCCUGGGGAGUACGGUCGCAAGGCUAAAACUCAAAGGAAUUGACGGGAGCCCGCACAAGCGGCGGAGCAUGCGGCUUAAUUCGAUGGUACCCGAAGAACCUUACCUGGACUUGACAUAAUGGGUCUAGCUGUGGAAACACAAUGUGCUUAGGCGCUCAUCACAGGUGGUGCAUGGCUGUCGUCAGCUCGUGUCGUGAGAUGUUGGGUUAAGUCCCGCAACGAGCGCAACCCUUGUCCUAUGUUGCCAGCACGUAAUGGUGGGGACUCAUGGGAGACUGCCGGGGACAACUCGGAGGAAGGCGAGGACGACGUCAAGUCAUCAUGCCCCUUAUAUCCAGGGCUGCACGCAUGCUACAAUGGGCGGUACAGUGGGCCGCGAUCUCGCAAGAGUGAGCCAAUCCCUCAAAGCCGUCCCCAGUUCGGAUUGAAGUCUGCAACUGGACUUCAUGAAGCCGGAGUCGCUAGUAAUCGUGGAUCAGCUAUGCCACGGUGAAUACGUUCUCGGGGCUUGUACACACCGCCCGUCACAUCAGGAAAGUCGGUAACACCCGAAGUCAGUGGCCUAACCCCUCGGGGAUGGACUGCCUAAGGUGGGAUUGGUAACUGGGAUGAAGUCGUAACAAGGUAAGCGUA